UUUGGGUCGGAGGCGGGCCCCGCGGGGGGGGGGGAGGGGGGGGGGGGGGGAAAAAACGGGGGGUAAUUUUUUAAUUUUUCCUCUUUAAUUUUUUAAGGGGGAUAAGGCCCCGAAAAGAAAUUUUUGGGAUUAAACCCCUUUAAAUAGUUUUUAUUUAAAAGGACAUUUUUUUUUAUGAUUUAAAGGGUUACGGGUUUGGGAAGGGUUAUGCGUUUUUUUAGUUUGUAAGGUGAGGGAACGGGUUUCCCCUAGACUUCGAUAGAUAGGGGGCCCUGAGAGGGGGACCCCCCACAACUGGUACUGAGACCCGGACCAGACUCCUACGGGAGCNAGCAGUAAGGAAUAUUGGUCAAUGGACGAAAGUCUGACCCAGGCAUGCCGCGUGCAGGAUGAAUGNCCUAUGGGUUGUAAACUGCUUUUAUACAGGAAGAAAAACUUCUCGUGAGAAAGCUUGACGGUACUGUAAGAAUAAGGAUCGGCUAACUCCGUGCCAGCAGCCGCGGUAAUACGGAGGAUCCAAGCGUUAUCCGGAAUUAUUGGGUUUAAAGGGUCCGUAGGUGGAUAAUUAAGUCAGAGGUGAAAUCCUGCAGCUUAACUGUAGAAUUGCCUUUGAUACUGGUUAUCUUGAGUUAUUAUGAAGUGAUUAGAAUGUGUAGUGUAGCGGUGAAAUGCAUAGAUAUUACACAGAAUACCAAUUGCGAAGGCAGGUCACUAAUAAUCAACUGACACUGAGGGACGAAAGCGUGGGUAGCGAACAGGAUUAGAUACCCUGGUAGUCCACGCCGUAAACGAUGGUCACUAGCUGUUUGGACUUCGGUCUGAGUGGCUAAGCGAAAGUGAUAAGUGACCCACCUGGGGAGUACGUUCGCAAGAAUGAAACUCAAAGGAAUUGACGGGGGCCCGCACAGGCGGUGGAGCAUGUGGUUUAAUUCGAUGAUACGCGAGGAACCUUACCAGGGCUUAAAUGUUUGGUGACAGAUCUAGAAAUAGGUUUUUCUUCGGACACUAAACAAGGUGCUGCAUGGUUGUCGUCAGCUCGUGCCGUGAGGUGUCAGGUUAAGUCCUAUAACGAGCGCAACCCCUGUUGUUAGUUGCCAGCGAGUAAUGUCGGGAACUCUAACAAGACUGCCAGUGCAAACUGUGAGGAAGGUGGGGAUGACGUCAAAUCAUCACGGCCCUUAUGUCCUGGGCUACACACGUGCUACAAUGGUAGGUACAGAGAGCAGCCAAUGCGCGAGCAUGAGCAAAUCUAUAAAACCUAUCUCAGUUAGUAUCGGAGUGUGCAACUCGCCUCCGUGAAGCUGGAAUCUCUAGUAAUCUUACAUCAUGCAUAGCGAUCCCAGUUACCGC
rnacentral:rRNA from 1 species